CAGUAGCCGCGGUAAUACGGAGGGUGCAAGCGUUAAUCGGAAUUACUGGGCGUAAAGCGCACGCAGGCGGUUUGUUAAGUCAGAUGUGAAAUCCCCGAGCUUAACUUGGGAACUGCAUUUGAAACUGGCAAGCUAGAGUCUUGUAGAGGGGGGUAGAAUUCCAGGUGUAGCGGUGAAAUGCGUAGAGAUCUGGAGGAAUACCGGUGGCGAAGGCGGCCCCCUGGACAAAGACUGACGCUCAGGUGCGAAAGCGUGGGGAGCAAACAGGAUUAGAUACCCCAGUAGUCCCUGUCUCUUAUAU
rnacentral:rRNA from 1 species